AGUAUUUGUCCACUGGAAACUGUUUUUAAGGUCUGACCUAACUGUAAAGAGGCCAUCCAAAAACUAUCAGAUGAUAACUUUCUGUCAUGACUUAUAUGGUGACAAGAUAUAGCCCAUAUCCCACGAGUUACUCAUUUCCUACAGGAAAUUCAUCUUCGCUACUAUCAUCUAACAGAAUUGCAAACACCUAUUCUGCACUGAAGUAUUUGUCUGCUUUUUCUUGUUUCAGUCUAGCAAGCAUAUUUCCCCUGAAUUGUCAGUAUCUUUAGAGUGAAAUGAGAGGUAAAGGUUCUGUGCUUUGAGAAAGUCAAAGGGAAGUUCAAUGUCUACUGCAAAAGCAAAUCUCCUUGUGACAAUGUGCAAACUGAUGGGUUUCUGUAGCUGUCUCCAUCAAGGAAAAUAAAAAGAAAGACAAAUUGAUUAGUAUUUACAGAGCAUUCAGCUAAUCUUACUACUUGACUUGCAAGAAACUCAGUGACAUGUUUUGGGUUUGUUUUUUAAUCCUCAGUAUGUGGAUGUUCUUUCUCACAGGGUAAAUAACAUCACAACUAUGUUUACACUGUAAUGGAAUGAAAAGUCCUUCGGACCAGAUGUAAGCACACCAUAUUCUGCACCUCCCCUCCCCAGGCCCUAUCUGCCCCAGAUAUAUUAUGGCAGCACGGACUGCCAGCAGAAUGCUUGUGAGCAUUUCUGUGCUAGUGUGCUGAACCACCAAGCUCACUCAGGUACCCAGGUGCCAUGAAGCUCUCAAGAAAAGGCUGUGCGCCCACAUCUGUGGUCAGUCCUGUAUGCUUGCAGUACAAAAUAAAAUACAGCUCUUCAAAUAUAAGCGUAAGUAAUGAGAAUACAACAGCAACAACAACAACAGGCCUCUGAACUCAGCUGGAGACGGAGGCUGCUUCCUCCCCAUCAAGACGAUUGUGUUGAUCAACAUGUCUUUCUGUGAGGCAGCUGCUUUCGACUUCUGCUAAGCUGUGCACUCAGUGUGGGACGUGGAAGAGAGGAACUACGGGUGCUGGGACGGGAGUCUGGAGACAGGAAAUAUCGUAGCUGAUAUUCUGGUGGGGACGGAGCUAAGGAAGGAAACUGCAACAACUGAUUUGUGACUCACUGACACUGUGCAUUUUUCUUGGCCUGUGAAAGUCUGAUGAUCUCUGUCUUUUGGUCGUCUUCCACAUACUCUCACUGCUGUCUAAGCUUUCCCAUGUGUCAAAGGAUCCAGAUGCUUCUCUUCCACUGUCUUCCAAUUUGACUGAGCUACCCCUGUGGUUAAAAGGCACAGGACACAAGAAGAAAAGCGUACAUUUCCAGAUUCACCCAGAACAGCCACCAUAACUGCUAUCUUCACACAAUGAGGAAGAAAAACAAUCAAGAGAUGCAAGAAAGGUAUCAUCUAAUGAAAGACAUACCCACUUCUCUCAAAGCACAAGAGGUCUUGGCACUGACAGUUGUUUCCAAUGUCUAAACCUAAGUCCUUAUUUCAGAAUGAUACAGUUUCGCAGACGAGACCAGGACUACAUUUGAUUUAUUGAGUGAUUCUCUUCUGUUUCCUUUUAAAGAUAAAGAAUGUG